UUUACAACUAGCACGGUUAAG
rnacentral:piRNA from 1 species